rnacentral:siRNA from 1 species
UUAAAUUGGUGACUAGAUGCCCA